rnacentral:rRNA from 1 species
CAAACGGGUGAGUAACACGUGGACAACCUGCCCUCAAGUGGGGAAUAACGCUGCGAAAGCAGUGCUAAUACCGCAUAAGCUCGCGAGAGUAAAGCUUCGGCGCUUGAGGAGGGGUCCGCGUCUGAUUAGCUAGAUGGUGGGGUAACGGCCUACCAUGGCGAUGAUCAGUAGCCGGCCUGAGGGGGCUGACGGCCACACUGGGACUGAGACACGGCCCAG